UCUGGAGGGUGGGGAAAGCCGGUUCAGCUGGACUUUGGGGUGGGAAUUCUCUUCUCCGUUUAGACCUCUCGAGGUGAACGAGGCGUCCCCUCGCUGCUGGCGAGGCGGAUGGGUUCGCUGGUCCAGCAGAAACGUUUCCACUGUGGACUCUGUUAUUUCCUCUUUCGCACGCCCCGCGGUCCCACCCUGGGACUCCCCGGGGCCCCUCGCCUCCCCCCGGAAGGGGGCCGCAGGUCACAGCCGGGAUGUUCGGGAGCCGGGCGAGGGAAGGUAGGGCUCGUGCCGCUACCCGGGAAUGCCGAGGCGAUUUCGCCAUGUUUGUGUUGCGAAGAGCACUUUUUUCCCCUUUGAGGUGGCUUGAUGCCACAUGGCUCCUCCGGAGCUGCUGCCGGGCUGAGUGUGUGUGCUUUUUUUUUUUUCAAUGUCCGCAUUCCAGCUAAUGUUGCGCAGAUAAAAUUCAAACUUGAGGUAAACAGAAGAGGAGGAGGAGGAGGAGGAGGGGAGGGAGGGAGGGGGGAGACUGUUUCCAUUUCGAGAUCCCACCUCUUCACUCCGCGGAGACCAACAUCCCGAACCUGGCGAGCACUCGCUCGUUUCUCCCACCUACCCCACCUUUGCUGUCCACAAGAAAUAAGGCGGCGGGGAGUGGGGGUGCUUAGAGAGGACGCCUGGGUUCUAAAAGGGGAAAACAGCCCUCGGCACUCAGGCCUUUGGCCACCUCCCUCGUUCCUUCGGGAGGGACCAAGGAUGCCUUGGAUUGCUCUGGAGCUGGGGGACGGGAGGACAGCGCUCCCGGGCGGGGCGAGGGGCUGCCUGUCCCCUCUCACUCCCUCUUACUUUAGGGUACCGGAUGGUAUCGCUCCCACCCCAACCCAGGCGCAGGUUCCAGAAGGCGGGCUGGGUGGGUCUCCAGGUUUCCAGAGGGCAGGUUGCGUAGCAGGUGUGUGGUGGGCAUUUCUAUUUUCUAAGUCUUGCAUUUGGUGGGACGACGUGGGUAGUCUUAAAGUGAUUGGAUGUUCAGAGCUGCGUCUUAAUUUGCUUUUUUUUGCGAAUUAGGGAGAAAAAUCAAGACCUUACCUCCCCCCCUUCCCCCCGUUCCGCUGUAAAAUAUCUGAUUCAGCUCGAAGCUAAGCAGAAGGGAAGGAAGAAAUGGCGCUGCGUUACCGAUGGACAUACGUCUGUGUGCAGUGGCAGAAUACAGACUCUUCGUCACAUUUCAUUACCCCAUAAUAUUCAGGUUUGGUAUUACAGAGCUAUUUGUACUGUCCCAUUAGAGCUUUCUGAGAUGAUAGAAAUGAUUUAUAAUGAGGUGUUUGUAAUGACUUAGAAGUGAUAGCCACUAGUCACUUGAGGCUGUUGAGUACUUUAAAUGUAACUAGUGUGACAUAGGAACUGAAUUUCUAAUUGAUUUAAAUGGAAAUAGCCACAAAUGGCUAGUGGAUACUGUACUGGACAGCACAAUUAGAGAGGACUGAUUAUGUUUAAGUUUAGUAUUUGACAGGUAAAUGUUUAGGCCAAGGUCUUCUGCCUUUAAAAGAAAAUCUUGGUUCAUUUUCUGGGGCUUAACACUGUGUGUCUGGUUCAUAGAUUAUAAGGUGUUUACUGGGUGCUAUUUUGACCUAUGUGAGGCCUUCAUAUUACAGAGCGUUUGUCUGUGUGUUCUGUGAGCUUUUCAUGUAGUUCAUGUGGUCUCCCUUUUUUAGGAGCAGAGUGGAGUGAUGACGAGUAAUUAUGAUUAUGAAUAAUUAUUUACAAAUCAAAUGGAGUUGAGCCCUUGGCGUGUAAACUGAAUGGAAGUCCCGUAAGUUCAGUCAACGCUUCUCUAAGAUGUCUUGUGAGGAGCAUGAGCUGUGUUUGUCUUGCUGGCUGUUGUCUCCCUCGUGCCUCAUAGACUGCCUGAUGCCCGGCGAGUGCUCAGAAAUGUUUGUUGAAUGAAAGAAUGUUGAAAUAAUUUUAACCCCUCUAAUUUAACUUCAGAGGGUAUAUUGUGGAGCUGAAGAGGAGGCUGAGGACCAGUAACUUCACUGAAUUUACAGUCCUUCCAAGGAAGGCCAUCUCUCCAGAGCAUUAUUGUUAAUUCAGUGACUCUCAUUUCUUUCCUGUAAAGUAUGUAGCAGGGAUUAUUACCCUUCUUUGACGACGAAUUGAAAAAUAAAGGUACAAAAUUUGGUCAUAGAGGUCAUCCACAGAGAGUUGGAAGUGUAAGUCAGAAAGAAGUAGUUGUUUCUGUGGCCUUGUGUGCUCAUCCCUGGUUCUUCCGAGAAAUAAAAUCACACGCUGAACUGUAUUAGUUAGAAAAUUUGGUUUGUAAAGUCAAAGGUGACUAAACAUGUUAGUGGGGUUGGAAAACAGGGUUGAAAACAUCCCUAGUCUGGCAUGACAUUGAGAAAACAGCUUCAGUAUGAGAAACAGGAAUGGAAACGUUUAUUUCUGAAACCUCUAAAUCUCAAUCUGUGGUAAUCCUGACACCCAAGUUAUAAACUUCUCAAAGAGGAUAUUUAAAGUGUAAAUAGAAACAGAUGUGUAGUCGGGGAGAUAACCACUACUAGACUUUGAAAUAUUUAUAUAAAAAGGUACGAGAUACAUCAAACAUCUGUUUAGAACGAGAGCCCUAGGGCCGAAAAUUGUAGAUGUCGUUUCAUGUGGUCGAUGUUGCAUUGGUGGGUUGAUGACGCAGCCGAGUAUGUGGUCUUGUCCUUGUAGGAGAUGAUGCAUAGUGUACCCUCCGUGCUGUGCGUCAGAGGCACCUACUUCGUGGUGUUGUGUGUGGCUUGAUUCUAGGCCUGUCCUCGUUCCUGGGACACAGUCUAGCUUCCUAUCAUUCUGCCACUAUGUGUUCCACAAAUGAAAACUAAUUUUAUACAAGAGAAAAUAAAAAUCUGUUGACUUAAAAAAAAGUCAUAGGAUACAUUCCAAGAUAAAAUCUGAAGUUUUUUUUGGGGGGGGGAGGGUUACUUUGUUUUUUUAAUCAAUUUUUGGCCUAUUAGUCCUUUAUGAUUGCUUUUCAAAGCCUUUAAUGUGAACUCUUUGGUGGAGGGGGGAAAAGCCCCCAAAACCGAAAGCAGACUGUCAGCUAUGUCCCGUAAAUUCUUGCUGUUGCCCGCAAAACCAAACCGAAACAGCCAUAACAAGACAAAACCCACUACUGCUAUCAGCAACAGAAGUUAACCCAACCAGCCAAACAAACAGAGAAGCCUGUGAGCCCUGACUUGUUGCUUUUGUGGGGAGGUCAAUAAUGUGAAGUCUUUUUUCGGUACUACAUGUAAAUUACUCACAACAAGAAAAUUUGUAUCUGCCUGUCUGUCUAACUGUGACUUAAGAAGUAAUACUGCAGUAUAACAAGAUGUUUCCAGCCUGGGAAAUCCUGAGGGCCUGCUUGGAUUCAGGUGUACUGUUUAAGAAUUAUUUUGAAGGUUUAUUGAGAACUAUCUCUGGUGACCUUGGUCACUAACUUGAUCUAAGACUUGCAGUUUCUGGCUUCAUUUCUUUCUCAUCAAUGAGUGGCUGGAUUGAUCGGUGGUUCUCAGACUUUAGUGUGUAUGCGAAUCACCGAGGGCUUGUUAAAACCCAGAUUGCUGGACCCCCCCCCUGCAGUUUCUGACUCAGUAGGUCUGGGGCGAGUCUCAUCAUCUGCAUUUCUUACAAGUUUCCAGGUGAUGCUGAUGCAGCUGGUCAGGGGACCACAUUUUGAGAACCGCUGGAUUAGAUAAUCUCUUCUAAAGGGGUAUGAUUCUGUGCCUGUUUUUCCUUCUUUUCCAGUUGCAGCACCUGUUGUUUGAUUUCUGCACUGUUCCAUCGUUUAAGGAUUGCUGUAUGGCAAACUGAGUUUUAAAAGUAUCAGAUGGAUACAGAGUUUCUUGAGAAUUCCAUAUAUUUUGCAAAAACCUCUGGUCUGUUAAAACUCAGAUUGGGUCUUCUUACUUAAGUAGAGUAGAUGUCUCCAGUUAAAAUAUAUUGACGUAUUUCUGUUGUUAUUAAAUGACAGACUAUUUGCCGCUCCUUAAACCUAAGUGUUGUAUCAAAACGAACCAAGGACCUUUUAAGAGACAGCUCCAGAGUAUGAUGCGGUACCUUACAUAAUUGUGGGCUCACUAAAUAAAUGGUUUUUAUGAGACAUAGUUUUUUUCCUAGUUAAAACUCACUGGAUUUGGAUGCAUAAUAAGACUCCAAUAGCGUUAACCUAGACAGUCUCGGAAGCCAACUGCCUCACAGAAGAUUCGUGGUUGCAGGAAAGAGAUGUCAGCCGAGAGAUGAAGAGUAAGUCAGGGCAUAACCAUUCCCUGUUUUGGGGACUUUGGGGAACACUGGAAGCUCUGCAGUUUCUAAAUAAAGGGGCUCUGGGGCUGGAGUCUGGAAGGAAAGCGAUGAGAGACCAGGAGACGUCUUCAAGCAGCCCUUGGAGAGCCAGCACACUGUUCUUACCCAGAGGGCGUGUUUAUUUGGGGGAAAGGGUCUGGCUUUGGGAGGGGUUCAUGGAGAGUCCGAGGCGUUCUAACAGGUGGUGCUCUGGAGGCAUUCCAGAUCACACCAGACUCCCAGAUGCCAAGAGUCCGAUGGACUCAAGGUUUGAGGUGAGUUGAAGUGAGGUUUGACAAUACAUUCUCAAGUGAGUUAAUUUUUUGAAGAGGAAAGAAUAGUAAGAUUUUGGAGGGAAAAAAAAAAUCUCAUCUAAGAGGAAGGAAAUAAAAAAGAAGAGUAGGGAAUGGGAGGGUAAAAAUGAAAAAUUUUACAUUUUGAGGUGUUCUAAAACUCUGUGUAUGUCAAGACUAGUCACUAGCACAGGCUUCUUUGUUAGAAAAUAAGUUAAGGAGUUUUCCUAUUCAUUUCCAGUGAAUACUUCAGGAUAUCACCAGAUACUAUUAUUUGACUUACAUCAAAUGGCUUUUCAAAGUUAGGCCCAGAGUUCAUGCAGUGCUUACUUUUUUAGGUGGCUUUAUGAUCGCUAACCAGUUUAGAUCAAAUUCCUGGCAGGCACGUGCUGUACUUAUGGCCCGGCGGGUUUAUGGAUUAGGGAGCAAGUCAUUUGUGUAGCGUAGGCCGCAGAGCUGGGCUGAGACCAUGGGGUCUCAUUGCUUUUCACAUUUGCCCAUGGUAGUUUUGUCUUGAAAGUCUCUGUUUUCUAACUGCUCUUAUAAAAUGUUUGAACUUUAAAUCUUGGAGUUGAUUUAGCAUCUGUAUAAUUGAUUGUAGAUUAUAUUUCGUGGAUAUGGCCCUGAGAUUUUGACCUGUUUAUUUCUUUGAAAAGAACUACAUGUGAUUUGCUACUCAGAUGUGCAGGCAUUUCUUGACUCAAAUAUCUGUGACAUAAUCUUCGUAACUAAAUCUGUGAAGCUGUUUUGAAUUCUUUGGACUUGACAGUUUGAGGCUGGGGUUGGCAGUCUGUAUGACAAGAGUGCCGGGGGUGGCCCACGGGCCAGUUAUCCUGGAACAGCCAGGGGGAGGGAGGUGUUGCUGUCUGAUCCCCUCCCCCAACUUUCUUAGAGUUUGCCACCCCCCCCCCCACCAAUCCUUCCUCCCCUCCUCCUCAGGACGUUUAAAAAGCUUCCUGUGCUUUAGAGAAUUAAGACACUUAGUGUUUUUCUUGUGUAAUCACACUAGCACUUGGCGACAUCAGUCUUUGCUCUCCCGCGUCUCUCCAGGUUCCUUUCUUCCAACUUCGGGUAUUUCUCUUUCUCUCACAGCUGCACAUCUAGCUUCUCCUGCUGACUCCUGAUUGGCCAUAGCCCCCAUGUGGAUUUCCUUUAUCGUCCUUUCUCCACAUUUUCCUCUUCUUCCUUUGCUGGUUAGAAGUUCUGUUUCUGUGCUGUGGCAGAUCUUACUUAGUUUGAUAGGAAGAGUAUUGAGGUAGGAUAGUUUUAAUAACUGUGAUAAUGAUGAGUGGGUACCUAUCUCUUUGGAUACUGAGCUUGGUGCUUAUAUUCUUUCCACUGAAUUCUAGUUCCCACUAGCUAUAGAACCUUAGGAGAGUGUCCAAGUCUGUGCCAUAGGCUGCUCAUCUGUAAAAUGAGGGGUUGGGGGAGCAAGGUGUUUCUCGCCCUAAAAUGCCGUGGUUGAGUUUAUUCACAUUGUGGUCUGGUUGUAAACUCUCAUGAGAAUACUUGUGGAGCUUUUUGAAAGACACCUGUUAAACAAGACUGGUCUCAGUGCAUCAGGACAUCCAGGACUCCCUAAAUUAGGUCAUCUGCAGUAUGGCUGGCCAUCUUUUUCCUUUAGGAGUUAGGGAUGGCUCUCAAGGGCACCCUUCUCCAUACUUGUGCUGUCUGCAUCAGAAGACCCAAAAUUGAACCAGAACUGGAAAGGCUGUUGACCGUGAUUUGGAAGACCCUGCUGCUCUCAUCUCCACGCUGGAGGCCCUGGGCUUCUAGAGACGUCCUUUCAUUGAUGGUAUUCAGACCACUAGGGGAGUUUCUGGGAACCUGCUUAAUACUUGUAUUAAUUCUUGUACAACUCAGGAAAACAGUCCUACCUCAGAUCUUUCUCUUGCAAAAUUGUGUGUGGUCUGUGACCUUGAGUGCUUGUUUCCUGUUUCUAGGGAAAUUUUUGUUAGUAUUGAGUCUUUUUGUAAUGUUCACAACUACCUCAAGCUACUUAUCUGUACCUUGUCAAGGCCACUGACGAUUGUUUUGCUUUCUGCUUUUAUAUUGAUGUAUCAUGCAUUCAUUGCACCUAUUGUCCGUUUUCUAAAAAAUCUACGAUUAUCUUCUUUUGUUUUUUUAUGUUCCCGGCAAGGUUAAUCGUUGCUAUGCUAAGAACACUCACUUCAUCAGCUUUGUCCUUAGUGUCACUCGUAUUCCUUCAGCUUUUCCUAUUGUUUAGCUUUUCAAAAUCGUGUAAUACCUACUUUUUAUAGGCCCUGUCUAUUGUGAUGGCUCUUCAGUCUUCAGUGAUUAUUGCCUAAAAAUGCAGGUCGGGGAUUCGGGACCAGGGAGCUCUCUUGCCACUUUUCUUCCUUAGAAGCAGAAGCAAGCCAGUAAGUUCAGCUCGCGUUCAAGGGGAACGGAUUAGAGCGCAGCUUGUAAGGAGGGGAGUGUCAGAGAAUCUGGGAACGUAUUUUAAAGCCAGCCCACUAUUUGUGUUCUGAAGAAGAGGGGUGAUGAUGUGACUGUGAAGGGGGAAGAUACCACAGUGUCUAGCGAGGGGUUAAUCUGAUAUUAAAGGAGAAGUGAAGGGAGGGAGAAAUAGGAGGUAGACCCUGGUAAAGCCAUCCAGCAGUCACGUUCAGUAAUGAUGGAUUUAGUCAGGGGAGAUGAGAGAGGAGAGGUAGGACCCAGGUGAGGGAUGCCCCAGAGUGAGGAGAGAGAGGAAGAGGAGAGUGAAAAAAUGGUCUUGAGGUUUUCAGGUCUGCAGAACGAUCAGGCAUGUAAUAACUGGAAAAAGAAACCAGUUUUGAGGGGAUAUGGCUGCUUGCUUGGUUUUAGACAUUCAAGGGGAAAUUCCUAAGCAGCUGAAACUAUAGACCCAGGGCUCAUGUUGAAAUGUCUAGCCAAGGAGGGAAGUUUCAGAUUUGUCAUCCCGGCAGUGAUGGUUCGAUUCUUCAAGGGGUGAGCACGCGGAGAGGCCUGAGCACUGAGGACCAAGGCCUUGAGGGAAGCUGUGGUUUGGAGUCUGAUCGGGAGGAGGCAUUAGAUCUGUAGCAUUAGGGAGAAGGAAGGGCCAGCAGUGUUCUGGCAGGGACGAACAAAGUGGCGUGAUCCAGGGCUUCAGAUGUUGCAGAAUCUGAAGAGAACGAUGUUCGAAAUGAAUGCAUCUGCCUGUAAGAUUAUUAGAGGUGACAGCAGUUUAAGUGAGGGAGAACAAUUUUGGAAAUUGGAUUAUAACGUUUAAUUCGAUGAUUAACUUUUUAAAAAGUGCUGGAGGUGGGAGGAUGAGUGGCUGGCAUGUCUUUCAUCACUUAGGUUUUGAGAUCUUACAUCCUUCUUGCCUCCUUUUAGCACCACCAAGCCUCCCUGGAAUGGUACUUCUACUCAGUUCUUGGACUGAGGGAUGAAAUGGGAUUUUACCUCACUUGUUUUCAGGAAAUCUUUUCACUGCACCUUAUUCACACUGUUCAGGGUUAGAAGAGAUGGAGUACUUUACCAUCUGGAGUUUCUCUGCCUCGUUGAUGAUGGAAGCGCAAACCUACCGGUUUAUAGGAGAUGAUAGAUAACACCUUGUAACGUCUGAGUUGCAAAAAUAUCUGCCUCUAAGAACUCAGGAGGACCGACUUUGUGGGAGCAGAGAUAGUGAGUCAAAGCUGCAGGCUUGGAGAGGAGCGUUCGUUUGAGCCUCUUCGCUCAGUCGGGAGAUUUCCUAGGCAACCGUUUAUGUGGUCGUUAAAGGAUGGGGAACUCAGAGGUAUGCACUUGGAAAUUUUAAUCCUCAGAUGCAAUCCCUAUCAGAUCGAGACCUCAGUUUUCAUUUUUUCGUUUAAAAUAAGUAAAUUAAAAAGCUUAACACUCAUAUGGGAAAAAUCACUAUUAUUAAGACGUGUGUGCAUUGCGCUUUAUCCUUCUCUCUUUAACACGCUCUGAUGGGAAUGUUUAUAUGUAUUUGUGCUGGCUUAUUUGGGAAAGCGGAAGAGAGUUACUGCUUGAGGUGGUUUUGUUUAGCUGUGAAGUUAUUGGAAAAGCAGGUAAUCUUUGCACGUGCCUGUAUCUGAGUUGGUUAUCAUUGGUAGAAUUUCCAGCAUGUGGGAAAGAGAGGUUUAUUAAUCGUUCGUUUCUUCUUUGAGUGUUUAUGCUUGAGUUUGUCUUUGUCCCAGUGCUUUGGUGGUGUCAGUCUGCCUUAGGUUGCACUGAAACGGACUGCUCUGGGGCUUGAGGGGAAGUGUGGAACAGCAGUCAGUGAAUCGGAAUCGAGGGGUAGACACCCCUUGAUCUGCUGAAGACUUUCCGCUGACCCUUCCCUCUCAUCCAUUUGCUCUAGGUCUCUUGGAUGGCUGGAAGGAUACGGGAAACGUUUCUCUUCCUCUGUGACCCACUAACACUCCCAGACGUUCUGUAGCACGGACUUGGAUUACAUUCUAUUUCAAUGAAUAAGGUGGCUUUUUUCAUGCACCAGUGAAAGAGGAAAGUCCUACAGGUUAUGUGACAGAUUCAUUUUCGCUAGUGUUAGCAAUAAUCUGAAAAGAACCAAAAUAUUAAAAUAUUGGCAGUGCUGAUUUUAAAUAGGGUUAUGUUAUGAUCCUGGCUCAGGUGUUGUGUGGAACUGUUAAACGUAAGAUGAAAUAUAGAAAAUGGCCUUUCUCUCCCAGAGACUGAGAGGGCCUGCCCCUGACCCUGAGCACCUGUGGGCGUUAUACGAACGUUUGGAGCUUCUGGCCUCAAUAAAGCAAAUUUUUUCUUUGGAUGCUCCUGUUGAUUCCCUUCUACCACCAACGACUGUGAGACUCUCCUGCUUUAGAGAUGUGGUGGCUUAAGUUAGGAGAACUUUGUUGUUACGGUUUUUCCCUCUUCCCUAGGUUCCUAGAUCUGUGCAAGAAAUUGUGGUGGCAAAUCCUGGUCCAGAGCCAGGACUUGGCACUCUCUUUUUUCCUCUAUAGCAAAGGUGAAAAUUUUCUGAUUCUUGGAGUGAAAAUGCAUGGAAGUGUAUUUAAUUCUUACGAAGUCCAUUUUGACAGUGACUCUUUAGUGGUAUUGACGAUGCGCUUCUACCCUUAAUUUGAAUUUGUUUCAUUUAAUUACAUAUUUGAAAUACCAGACUGUAGUUUAUGAACUACCUUAAGUUAUUUUUAAACAAGGUGGGUUACAAAUAAGGUAAUGCUUAGAUUUGUUCUUUAUAAUAUCUGCAUUUUCACUUUUUUGUGUGAGAUAAAAACUGACUUGUUGAUCGAUUCAUGCAUUCAUUCACUGAAUGUCUCCUGUUUGCAAUCACUGUACUAGGCACUAUGCUUUGGGGAUAGAGAUUAAGACCUAGUCUCUAUUUUAAAGGUGCUGACAAGUCCAAAAGGAGAGACAUGCAAAUAAGUACUGUUAAAGCGCCUCUGAACAGUCCCUUGGAGGAGAAGAGCCAUGAAAUAGUUCUUUAGUAACGUCAAAGGCUGCGUCAUAAAUGAGUUCAUCUUUGAACCUGUGACAAAAUGUCGGAAGAUGGAAAGAUUGUAAACAUAUACCAGAUGCCCACAUCUUCAAUAUAAGUGACGUGGAAAUGGAUUUCCAAUUUGGAGGCAAACCUUUGUUUCUAAUUGCCCCACCUUCAUUGGAUGACCCAUGUAUUUCCCUGACUACAUGGAUUUUGGGGCUCGUAUCACCAGCAAUCUUCUCCCCAACUUGCUAUAGCUCCCCCCCCCCGAUCUGCUCCUGGCUCAGCCCUCUGCAAGGAGCCCUAUCCAAGACCCCAGUGCAUAUGAACAUUUUGCUCAUUCUCAUUUAAUCUUCAUAAAAACCUGGCAGGUAGGUAUCGCUUCCUUCCCAUUUACAGAUAAAGUAACUAAGAGUCAGAGACUGAAGAUUCUAGAUGGUUUUAGAAACUAAACGAUUUGCCAGGGUCAUGAUGUAACAAGUAGCGGCUGACUGUGUGUGUCUAUAGUGGCCCUGCAGCGUGAGAAGGGUGACACUUAAUAGAACCAGAUCCAGCAUCCUCACUGCUGUGUGGGAAAUCUCUUCAUCUCCCUAAAUCCAAAAUAUGCCUUGAAACAGGGUGGGAGGUGGGGACAGGAAGGCUGCCUACUCGUCAUAUGCGUGCCUGCUCCCUUUCUCCUCUCAUCUGGAAAUGUCACCUAACUUCAGAUGGGGGUUUCUCAUGGCAGCUGGCUAAUUGCAGUCUGGAAAUGGAGGCCUCUUGGUGGGUAGCACUCAUUGAGACUAUGUAGGGAAAUCAAAUGAUACUCAGACUCUGCAAAAAAUAUGUUAGGUCUGUGCAUUGCACAGAGUAAAGACUCCACAAAUGUUUGUUGACUUUUGAAGCAUCGAGGGGCGACCUUUGAAAUUUGGAGAUGUGGGUAUCUGUGGGUGUGCCAUCCACACACUGUGCACAGCCUGCAUCUGGCUAAAGUGGUCCCAAGGCUGGGUUUGAUUGAUACGGCAUAGCUAGAGUAGAACUUAAUGAUCCCUAGUCAAAGCGAGAGUCAGAGUCAUAUGGUAGAAGCUGAGUUGAGUGUUAACUAUGAAGAACAAAACUACAAGUGGAUCAGAAACCAACAGGAAUUGGAAUUAAGAGUAGAUUCCAACACAAGAAGCUGUUCUGGGCAAGAGAUGUGGGAUUGAGGCUCUGUAGUAGGGUUUAAUAUGAGCAAACCCUACAUCUAGCCUUUCCGCUUCCAGGCAUAUGUCUCCUGAGAGACUUGAAACAUGUGCAUAAAGAGACAAGAGCAUGAAGACACCACCAUUUAACUCCUAUGGAUGCAGGAAUACAUAGCAAAAAUAUGAAGACAUCCAUGGAAUUGAUAAACAAAAUUCAGCAUAGUGGUUUGAACUGAGCCUAUUUUUUCUCAUUAAUGCAUGAUUCAAUAGUCGUAAGUCACAAUGACGCUGUCUAGAAUCCUAUUCUCAAUUAAUAGAUAUGGGUUUUCUGUGUGUUUGUUUUUUUGGCUCCUAAGACUGAUAGAAAUACAGGGCCGGAAGGACUUAGAGAGAACAUCAGACCUCUCCCUUUGUAGAGGAGGAAGCCGGGAUGCUGGGAUGAAAAUUCCAGGAGACAAAUGGAAGAAACAGAAGAACUUUUAAUGAAACAGAAUAAACCACUGAACAGGUAACUAACAUUAGCGGGGGUUGUGUAUACAUUGAUUAAAUGAGUUCAUAUUUGUGAAGUCCUUAGAAGAGUACCAGGCACAUAGUAAAUGUAUAAGUUUUUGGUAUCAUUCUUUUACAUAUACCUGAAUCCAGAACAAACCAGUCAUACAACCAAAAACUACGCAACAAAAACAAACCCUUUGCUCCUAAAGCAAGUGUGAACAUCAUUGGUAAGUUCUGAUGUUGUCUCUGUGUGACCUGAUAUAGUGGCCUGAGAAACCUAAUUUCUUAAUCUUUGAGCACCCUAAGUAUUUGAACACACAUUCAUUUUUGUUUUUGAGCACUCAUUCAUGAUGACCUUAUAAGUGUCAGAUCAGUUUCAAUUUUGAAACAAAACAAGUCUCUUUAAAACUCUUGGCGAGAUGGUUCUUCAUUGCUUGGGGAAGUGGAACAUAGCUUAGUUUACGGGUAGCCACUGAAAUGGCUAAUGGAGGGUUAGUAAAGACAGAGAGAAGGGCAUUGAGAACAGCACUCCUGUUUUCUGAUGAUGGCAGGUGAUGACUUGAAAUAAGAGGUUUCAAACUGUUGACCCUGCUUAGUGUCAAGACCUACUGACACAUUCCACAGACAUUGGUAAGGGGCAUAUUAGGUGCCUCAUGCUCCGCUGGGGGUUGGGAUUGCAAAGUUGAACACAUCGCCUUUCUCCUCUCCCACCCCAUCGCUCUGGAUCUGCUCCGGUUCCUGCCUUUUUCACCUUGCUGUGGGGAGACCAGGGUCACUGGGCCACAGCGAUGCUCUAGAUGCCACCUUCCCUCUCAUCUUCAUCUCUUCUGUCUCCCCUGCUCCUCCCUCUCAACAUACCACAUGAUUUAUUCAGGAUGGGGAGAAAAACACCGGUUUAUUGAUUUAUUUAUUGAGGUGUAGGGACUCACACUCCAAUUUGAUAGAUGGAGACCUUUCUCCAGAUGUCACUCAUAUUGUACCUUCCUUCGCCCUGACUUCUCUUUCACAAUUUAUGUAGUUUAUCUUAAAUGCUCCGUCGUGUUGUAUUUUGCCAUCUUUCCCUUCUGGGAUAUUAUCUUUGGAAGUUACUUUUCUGUUUGGAGGUGUUACAGAUGACGCUGUUAACGUGAGCGGGGCGGGCACUGCUAGUGCACGCAACGUGUUAGUGGCUUUCAAACCUUGUUAUUGGAACCCACAGGAAGAAAUAUGUGUUAGGUUAGGACCCAGUGCCUGCAUCUGUACAUGUAGCUGUAUGGUUUCCUGAAAACUUUACUAUAUGUGAGUUGUGAUAGAAUUUUCUAGUCUAUUGUAUUCUGUUGCUUAUUUUUUUUCUUUUUUUCUCUCUUCUUUUUAAAUGCUCCUCAUAACCUUCAGAAUGGGUUUCAUAAUCUACUAGUCAGUUGUACUUUGACAAACUUGCAAUAGCUUUAUGCUAUGGUAGGGGCACAUGCUUUCUUGCCUUUUUCUCCCUAUUCUGUGGUAAUGUGCACAAGUCUCUUUUAUCCCUAAAAACCCCCUCAAACUUGCCUUAAUUCUUUAUGUGCAAAACUCUCUCCUUCCUUUUGUAGCUAAGCUUCUGUUUCUGUUUUCUCACAUACCAUUCACUCCUCAACUUUAUUUCUGUUUGAACUUUGACGUUCCUUUCCUGACCAAUAGCAAAGAAUCAUUUUAUUUACCAUUUUGAAUGAAAUAGAUUCCUCUGUAUUGUUAGAUCUUGUGUAUUAAAUAUAAUUUUCAAAAAAGUAGCACCUUUAUUUUUCAUUAAUUCCUAUACUUGUUUAGAUCCCCAUAUUUAAUUUCUCAGAAACAUAACUAUUCUGAUGGUCUAAUCUCACAAUCUUUGUCCUUACAUGGUCCGGGAAUCAUAGAAUUAUAGCAAUGAUGAGGGUUUUUAAAACCUUGUUAUCAUUUUGGUUGCUGUCAUGGGCUGCAGAGAGACACCUGCUGGCCCAAAUGUAGUAGUGCAUUGAUUUUCUGUCCUGAAGUCCAUCAUAUUGUCACUUUUAGGACCUUAAACUUUCGUGGUAUGCACGUAAGCUUGUAUAUUGGAAUGCCUUGACAUCCAGUCUCAAGUGUUUUUAGGGUUUCCAGCUCAGUAUCUAAUGAACUGAAACAUUCAUACCAUAUCACCCCGUCAAAGAGCUGAUGUUUAAUGGGGAAGAAGGAUUUCAUGGUAAAACUUGAUUCCUUACCUUCGUGUGUUCUUAAUGGGACUAGAAACGGAUGGUUUAGUAAACCACCCAGAGCCAGGAUCCAUUUAAGACUUUGGGAAAUGAUCAUUCACUCUUCCAAGAUAGUUAAGAACUGGAAUUUUAAAUGGUGUGGGUUUGCAGCUUGACUUGUUAUAUGAGGCAUACAUUUGGUCUUAGUUAUAGGUCUAGUGCUGGAAAAACAAGAAUCUAAAAGCUACUGCCUAUUUUGAGCCCCUAACCAGAAGAUCCCAGUGACUUUUGUGCACUGCUUAUUUUAGCAAAAUUCUCAUUGAUUUCAGAGGCAAGUUUAUUUAUGAAGAAUCAUAAUUAUGUACAUCUGUAAGAUUAUACAGCGCAUUCAACAAAUGUUAAAGAUUAUAAUGUGCAAAGUGAUUCUUUUUAAAAAAAACUGAGCCAGUAUUCACUGGUCUUUAAGGACUAUUUCCAAGGUUUAUAGGCAAUAAAUGAGGCAGCGUACCCCAGUUUUCUGUGUUGAAAAGAUCUCAUUUGAGAAGUCAUAGAAGUUUCUAAAUUUUUUUAUUGAAGCCAAGGCAAAGUUUAGGGUUUGGUUUAGGGUUAUCGUUUGGUUCUUUGAGUACAUUCUAAUUUCAGUCGUAAUUAAUGAAGCCUUUCCAUAUCAUUAUGAAUGUAGCAGGUUUGCUGAAAACUUAUUUUACAAUUAUUUUAAGUGCCAUAUAGCACAAUUUGGGUUACUUAUUUUGUAGUAUCUAGAGUAUGAAAAUACUCUGAGAACAAAGCAGCAGACUUUAAUAGCUAAAUGUUAAGGUGUAUUUAUCAAAAUCUUUUGAAAAAAUCAUCUAGGAUUCUGUUUUGAUUUUCCCUUUUUUUACUUUCUAACACAAAUUUUAAUGAAUCAUAAAGUGUUUCUUCUAUUAAAUAAGUAGAACACAUACAAUAUUAAAAAUUUCUGAUGUUUUCUUCUUAACCUCGAGUUAAGGGACACUAAGUUCUUCCUGGACAUCCACUCCUCAGAUAUAUUCUUCCUUCUUUUGCCCAGUAAUCAUGUUGAAGAUUAAUUAAAUCAGUCCAGUAUUCUAUGGCCUUGUGCAUUUCUCUCUCUUGAGUUAGGACGCAGUUAGGACCAUCUCUGCAUGAAAGAGGGCCUGGACAGGUCCAGGGGAUGCAGUGGCACUUUCCUGGCAGUUGUAUCAUUUCAAGAUAGUUGAGGCCAGUCCUAGGAAAAGGCCAAAAGGGCUAGACUGAUAGGUGGUCCUGAGCUCUCUCUAACCUGAGAAGAAACAAAAGGGAAUAACCACCGAGCUAAUGGAAAAUCCAGUCUCGGAAAAACUGAAUAAGCAGCUCCUGUAGAAAAGCCAUGAAGACACAUCCUUGCUGCCUUUCCCAAGAUAGCAAUGGACUGCAGCGCCCACAUCACCGUCAUUGCUGCAUCUGCUCGAACGCUGAUCUCGUGUUUACUGUUACAGGGAAUUCUUUUCAUUCUCUUUCCUCUUACCUUUGAGACACCCUACUACUUGUUCUCAUUCCUCUCUGAUUAUUUCUUCCAAGUAGCUUUAUAAGCCACCGUAAAACCUUGGUGUUAUCGCUCCGUCUUCCCUUUGUCCGUUCCAUUCCUGGUUGGUGAACUCACAGGAUUAGCACGGCAUAGCAGAGUCAGGUGCGUAGAAAGUAAUGUGAGAGAGGCUGCAAAUAAAUACUUCCAAAGCCCUACAUUUGAAUCCCAACUUUU